ensembl:ncRNA C16E9.24 ncRNA
GUUGGUUGGUUUUUGCUGUGUCGACGAAAAACUUGCAACAAGCUUUGAUUCUGAAAACAUUAUUUGGAAAAAUAUAAUAUCAAUUUUGAACUGACGAACCCCUUGAAUGUAAAAGGAAUUGGAGAGUUUCGCCUGGUGAACAUACCAAA